CUCAGGAUGAACGCUGGCGGUAUGCUUAACACAUGCAAGUCGAACGGUCUCUUCGGAGACAGUGGCGGACGGGUGAGUAACGCGUGAGAAUCUAGCUUCAGGUCGGGGAUAACUACUGGAAACGGUAGCUAAUACCGGAUGUGCCGAAAGGUGAAAGGCUUGCUGCCUGAAGAUGAGCUCGCGUCUGAUUAGCUAGUUGGUGUGGUAAGAGCGCACCAAGGCGUCGAUCAGUAGCUGGUCUGAGAGGAUGAUCAGCCACACUGGGACUGAGACACGGCCCAGACUCCUACGGGAGGCAGCAGUGGGGAAUUUUCCGCAAUGGGCGAAAGCCUGACGGAGCAAUACCGCGUGAGGGAGGAAGGCUCUUGGGUUGUAAACCUCUUUUCUCAGGGAAUAAGAAAGUGAAGGUACCUGAGGAAUAAGCAUCGGCUAACUCCGUGCCAGCAGCCGCGGUAAUACGGAGGAUGCAAGCGUUAUCCGGAAUGAUUGGGCGUAAAGCGUCCGCAGGUGGCGAUGUAAGUCUGCUGUUAAAGAGCAAAGCUUAACUUUGUAAAAGCAGUGGAAACUACAUAGCUAGAGUACGUUCGGGGCAGAGGGAAUUCCUGGUGUAGCGGUGAAAUGCGUAGAGAUCAGGAAGAACACCGGUGGCGAAGGCGCUCUGCUAGGCCGUAACUGACACUGAGGGACGAAAGCUAGGGGAGCGAAUGGGAUUAGAUACCCCAGUAGUCCUAGCCGUAAACGAUGGAUACUAGGCGUUGCGAGUAUCGACCCUCGCAGUGCCGGAGCCAACGCGUUAAGUAUCCCGCCUGGGGAGUACGCACGCAAGUGUGAAACUCAAAGGAAUUGACGGGGGCCCGCACAAGCGGUGGAGUAUGUGGUUUAAUUCGAUGCAACGCGAAGAACCUUACCAAGACUUGACAUGUCGCGAAUCCUCUUGAAAGGGGAGGAGUGCCUUAGGGAGCGCGAACACAGGUGGUGCAUGGCUGUCGUCAGCUCGUGUCGUGAGAUGUUGGGUUAAGUCCCGCAACGAGCGCAACCCUCGUUUUUAGUUGCCAGCAUUAAGUUGGGCACUCUAGAGAGACUGCCGGUGACAAACCGGAGGAAGGUGGGGAUGACGUCAAGUCAGCAUGCCCCUUACGUCUUGGGCUACACACGUACUACAAUGCUACGAACAGAGGGCAGCUAAACAGCGAUGUUACGCAAAUCCCGGAAAUCGUAGCUCAGUUCAGAUCGAAGCUUGCAACUCAGCUUCGUGAAGGAGGAAUCGCUAGUAAUUGCAGGUCAGCAUACUGCAGUGAAUUCGUUCCCGGGCCUUGUACACACCGCCCGUCACACCAUGGAAGCUGGCAACGCCCGAAGUCAUUACCCCAACUUUUAGGAGAGGGGGAUGCCUAAGGCAGUGCUGGUGACUGGGGUGAAGUCGUAACAAGGUAGCCGUACCGGAAGGUGUGGCUGGAUCACCUCCUUUUAGGGAGACCUACCCAACUGUAAAAUCGAUUGCCAAAAGCAAGAUAUAGAGUAUACAUAGGGUCACACCUAGGUCGGUCGGAUGAUAUUGUGUAACCUUUCAAACUAUGGUUUGGUUCGCAUUGCAGCAUUAGCUCAAGUGGUUAGAGCGCACCUGCUG
rnacentral:rRNA from 1 species